UACGGGGGGGCAAGCGUUGUUCGGAAUUACUGGGCGUAAAGGGCUCGUAGGUGGCCAACUAAGUCAGACGUGAAAUCCCUCGGCUUAACCGGGGAACUGCGUCUGAUACUGGAUGGCUUGAGUUUGGGAGAGGGAUGCGGAAUUCCAGGUGUAGCGGUGAAAUGCGUAGAUAUCUGGAGGAACACCGGUGGCGAAGGCGGCAUCCUGGACCGAUACUGACGCUGAGGAGCGAAAGCCAGGGGAGCAAACGGG
rnacentral:rRNA from 1 species